rnacentral:rRNA from 1 species
AUACGGAGGGUGCAAGCGUUAAUCGGAAUUACUGGGCGUAAAGCGCACGCAGGCGGUUUGUUAAGUCAGAUGUGAAAUCCCCGAGCUUAACUUGGGAACUGCAUUUGAAACUGGCAAGCUAGAGUCUUGUAGAGGGGGGUAGAAUUCCAGGUGUAGCGGUGAAAUGCGUAGAGAUCUGGAGGAAUACCGGUGGCGAAGGCGGCCCCCUGGACAAAGACUGACGCUCAGGUGCGAAAGCGUGGGGAGCAAACAGGAUUAGAUACCCUGGUAGUCCACGCUGUAAACGAUGUCGACUUGGAGGUUGUGCCCUUGAGGCGUGGCUUCCGGAGCUAACGCGUUAAGUCGACCGCCUGGGGAGUACGGCCGCAAGGUUAAA